GACGAACGCUGGCGGCGUGCCUAAUACAUGCAAGUUGAGCGAUGAAGAUUGGUGCUUGCCCCAAUUUGAAGAGCAGCGAACGGGUGAGUAACGCGUGGGGAAUCUGCCUUUGAGCGGGGGACAACAUUUGGAAACGAAUGCUAAUACCGCAUAACAACUUUAAACAUAAGUUUUAAGUUUGAAAGAUGCAAUUGCAUCACUCAAAGAUGAUCCCGCGUUGUAUUAGCUAGUUGGUGAGGUAAAGGCUCACCAAGGCGAUGAUACAUAGCCGACCUGAGAGGGGGAUCGGCCACAUUGGGACUGAGACACGGCCCAAACUCCUACGGGAGGCAGCAGUAGGGAAUCUUCGGCAAUGGACGAAAGUCUGACCGAGCAACGCCGCGUGAGUGAAGAAGGGUUUCGGAUCGUAAAAAUCUGUUGGUAGAGAAGAACGUUGGUGAGAGUGGAAAGCUCAUCAAGUGACGGUAACUACCCAGAAAGGGACGGCUAACUACGUG
rnacentral:rRNA from 1 species